rnacentral:rRNA from 1 species
UACGUAGGGGGCAAGCGUUGUCCGGAAUUAUUGGGCGUAAAGCGCGUGUAGGCGGCUCGGUAAGUCUGCUGUGAAAGUCCAGGGCUCAACCCUGGAAUGCCGGUGGAUACUGUCGAGCUCGAGUCCGGAAGAGGCGAGUGGAAUUCCUGGUGUAGCGGUGAAAUGCGCAGAUAUCAGGAGGAACACCAAUGGCGAAGGCAGCUCGCUGGGACGGUACUGACGCUGAGACGCGAAAGCGUGGGGAGCAAACAGGG